AGGUCUAUGCAAAAUACAUAACACAGCUGGUCACAGGUGCCAGUUCCAGUGUUGUAAAUUACAAUGUAAGUACAGUUAUUUAGAAUGACCUUUGGAAAUAAUCUGUACGCAGUGCUCCAAGAACCAUCUAGGGGAUGCCUGUUCCCAUCAGUGUACUGCCAGGCCAAGAUGGCAUUUUCUAGAGUCUAGCUGUUUGCUGUGAUAACUGAACAUGCCGAGUCUGCAAUUACGGUAUAAAAAAGCACACUAAUGUCAUGGUGUUGCUUGGAUUUUGUAACCCCAGGGUCAUACAUUCAAAGGGAUAGAAGGUGAUUCAGUUGUCCACCAAGGUCAGCAUUAAGGUACUGCAGGUCCUUACUUUUGUUUUUCUUGGGGAUCACCUAUGCCUUCUCCAGGAACAAAGCAGCCUGGUCUGGAACACCCGAACAGUCAGGUUAGGGCUAUACUAACAUUUUCCCUAGUGUGUCUAGGCAAACCAUUUGCAUUUGUACCAGUCUGUAAAGAGGGGAUCUCUUCUCUCUCCCCAGACAUUCCCUAUGAAUUCAUGUGACAAUGCCUUCAGGACAGAUGCUGCCUCUUUGACUGAAGACAGCUCUGCAUUACGUGAAGGUCUCAGGUUUCCGGCUGGGCCAGAAGGAGCAGAGGCAGUCCGGAAGCACUUUCCCUUCACUUCUCAAAACAGCACACUGCACAGCUGAGAAUGGGAAUCCUUUCUUUUGAUCUAUCCCUGCUAAUGAUGCUGUGAGGCUGUUGCAUCAGUGAGCAAAGAUGUAUCAUACAAGCAGCUUCACUGGGUACUCACUCUUCUCAAGUCACCAAAGAUGCUUUGAAGCUGGCCUCGUGGUUGCACGCAGCACCCGAAAUGCAUUUGUCCUGUGCGAUUGCAUGCCUGGGAUGGGCCGAGUCCAUUCUUCCUAUCAGAGGAGAGGUAUGUUCCUUGAAGCCGGUGCCUCCUGCUGCCCAGGUCCUCAGAUGACCCUGGACAAAGGUAGCAACAUGAACUUCGUUGAGCAAGUUAUGAGAUAAGAUGCAGUGGGACUGAUGAUUCAUUGCCUUGUCAAAUGCCAAUGUCUGCAGUAAUUGUAACCUAAAUGGGUCAUAUGUCAAUGCCUUCAAAUGGUCUUUGGUUGCAGAACUGAGCAGUAGGGUUGAGUCUUGAUGUGGGGGCAGGUUGAGGGAUGCUCAUUCUGUGCAGAUCUCCAGAGUAAUUGUGACUGAAGUAUUUGUUAGUUAAUGAAGUUUAUUGGGAGCAAGCAGAAAACACUUUGGACUCAGAAAACAACCUAAAAAAGGCACCUUUCUCCCAUAAUUCUAACUCUUGCACACUUUCUCUCCUCAGACCCCAAUGCUAAAAGGCAGUUAGGUUUCUACAGACAAUGGUAAAAUGGCACCCUGUCACGGUGGAUUACUAGCUGCCUACGUAUUGUUGGAACAUCAUCAGACUUGUGGAAACAUUGGAACAUUUAGGACCACCAAGCAAAUCGCAGCCUGCUCAGUCAAUCAUUUCUGUCAAUUAGCUACAGGCUCCAAGUAGCACUUUUGAAAGGAGUUGGGCUGCCUCUUGUAAGAGGAUCAUUUUGUAGGAAGAAUAGGAUUGAGCUAAGGUUGAAAUGAGAGUUUUUAUUCCUUUACUUGCCUGGCCUUUUUACCUCUUUAGAAAAAAAUUCCACUUAAAGCUAAACAAGAAUUCACCUUGAGAAACCCCCAGCUUCCCUCAUCAUGUCUUGCUCUCACUAUGAGUAAAACUAACUCAGAGAGACUUCCUGUCAUCCUUUUGGUAUGAUGAAAAAUAUACUUGAUUGCAAUAGUGUCUGGAUGGCACAGCCAAGAUCAGAACCGCAUUGUGCUAAGUACUAUUUGCUAAACAAAUAGGAAAUGAGAUGUUGUUCCCCACAGGGCGCUCAGUAUAUAUAGACAAAGUCAAAGGGGAUGAAGCAGUAUUAUCUCAAGCUUACAGCUGGAGGACUCCAGUCCAGAGGGAUUAUAGUAGCUUGCCCAAGGUCACACAGGAAAUCUGUGGCUGAGCUGGGAAAUGAAACCAGAUUUUCCCAGUCCCAGGCAAAUGCACCAGACACAAGAUAAUUUCUAAAAUGGAGUGGUUCAACCCACAUCCAUACUGAAGGUUUCAGGAAGGCCUGAGCCCUCCUUACAGAGGCUAUGGGAACUGCAUCUUUUGCACAUCAGCUACAUGUAGGCUGUGACUAGGACAUAGAUCUUUAUGAGUACCAUCGUGUCCUUUCUGAAAGAUUGUUUUUAAAGAUGGAAUGUCAUGUUUUACGUGAUUCUUCAUCACAUGCUAUAUGCCUAGAAAAUUUGCUUUUCAGAUGCAGCAGCAUGACUGUGCUGCUCCAGGCAUGUCAGCAUGCAUUGCUGCCCUCUCGUGUAAGCCUUGCUGUAAUUGCAGUGAUUUGACAGUGCCGAGGGGGGAAGAUUAUCUGGUGCCCUGCAUCUGGUGUAGUCUUUCACACCGGCACACAGCUAAUGCACAUUGUUACCUUUCUCAUUUAGUGGUAUUGCUGUCUCUGCCACGCUUAUUUUGUAUGGACACGAGCUACAUGACAAUGGAGAAUCCAGGUCAUAGUCUUAGUAACCACGAGGCAGAUUUGCUAGGUCAAGGUAACAGUUAAGACAACAUUAUAGCAACAAAGUGUAGUUAAAGGUCAAGCAGUGUUCUCAGGUUUCUCAUGAGCUUUGCAGAAGGGGCAGUUCUACCUCAUUGAUCAAAGUUCACCUCAGGUUGAUUCUGACUGCUAAAGUCAAAUCAUCUUUCUCAGCACACAGCAUUUAAUUAAAAGCAGUUUGGUACACUUGAUAAAAGGGGAGAUAAAAUUUAUGAGAAGCUUCAUAGGCAACAACAAAGAAAUUCCAAUUCUUCCCCACUUAAUGGCUAGCCUGAAUUUUAUUUUAGCAAUAGCAAUUGAUGGUGCCCUGUGAUACCAUGUCAGUGGGUCUUUAGCUGGACAGUAGCUGGAGAAUUCCCUCCACUUUCCAUCAUACUGCUUGUGAAAGGGGCUGACAGCAAAUGAGGAUCAAGUCACAGGUGUUUUAGUUGGUGUCCCUCCUCUCUUUCUUCUUCCACCAGAAGCCUUCCCUUUUAAAAUACCUAGGCUGCUAGUUGCCAGCACUCAUCAGUGUUCCACUGGAAAAGGUUUUUUAAGUGGACCUUUCACAAGGCCAGCUGGAACUCUUCUGAGGAUUUUUCUUCAAACUUUUGCUCUUUAAAAAAUAAAUGAUAGAAAAGUUUUCCUUC